CGUGUUUAAACUUAUUGUUGGGUUCUGUUGACGUUUCUGUUAUUAUUUAUAUUGUUCAUUAUACACCCAAAGCUUAGCCCCAUGACAAAGAAACGUCCUAAAAAAAUAAAAAUAAUUGCUCACAAUAUUUGCAAUGGAACAUUUCAAAUCAGGGCUCUCACAAUAUAUAAAAAAAAAUAUAUACAAUAUUUGUUGUCAAAGAUGUGUACAUAUAUAUUUAUAUCUAAAUAUAUAGCAAAUAUAUAACUAUUGAAUAACGUAGAGAGAUAUAAAGUCAUCGUAAUGAAAAAAUAUAUAAAAAGUGAGACAAUCGCUCAGUGGAUGAAGCCGUAGGUUAGGAGGAAGAUGAGAAAGUGGGUCGAAGAAUGGGAAACGGCUAGCACAACCAAGAAAGAUAUAGAUGAAAUAGAGAGCGAGCUACAGUAUCUGAGGCCGAGUUUGGGGAUGUGAACAUUGAUGCCAUGGUCUCAUGGGCGUUUGCCCCUGUGCCAGGUACAUAGGUAGCUACAGUGCAGGAGCACAACUACACCAAACAUGCCAUUCAGGAUGCAAAGUGUCUAAGUAGUUAAUGAUGGGUAGUACCUUAGCCAGUGAGGUCCGUUGCAAACUAAUGCUGUCGAUUUAGCAUUUUGUAAUGGUCAGAAUGCCUUGUGGUCUGUGAACCCAAUGGCAGCCAGUGUGGUUACUGUGUCUAAUAACAUCAGACCGGUGGUUGAUUUGGUUUGGAGUUGCCCCUGUGGUCCACUGUGGUGAAGAAUAGACACUGCUGUCAUUUUGUGAUCAGAAUGUUUUUUUGUGGUCAGUGAGGUAAAGUGUGUUCAUUGCGGUCAGCACAACCCUCUUUUAAUUGUAUUCUGUGGAAAGGGUGAGGGACAUCACUAACAUGAGAAAGGAAGAUUUCAGGGAACCUCUAACCGUUUAUAAGUACUUGUAGUGGAUAGUUAGUGUGUAGCAGCUUCAGAGCUGAGUCACUUAGCUGAGGCAACAUCCACUGUUGAUUUCAGCUCAGAGCCUAACCCUGGCAGAACUAACCCUGGCACAACUAACCCUGGCACAUGGGGAUUCAGGUAACUGUGGUGGGCAAUGCCAAGGCACCAACCCACCUUCUUAUUGUCUACAUCCCCAAAUCUAAGGCCAACUUAAAAGUAUGACCCUACUUCAGGUGUUAAGAGAGUGCAAAGGGUGGAACCAAAUGUAACCUGUUGUAUUGCACCUUCCGAAGGUGUGUUCUGUUGACAACCUCCAUGACGUCUCAUGACUGAACUUAGUGAAGACAGCACAUAGUGACCUCUGUGUUUUACCGUUGUCAUUAUGUCCCUGCACAGUACUCCUAUUCCGGACAUACAUAUAACUGUUAUAACUGAGAACACUCACGCUCCCUGCCUGUUGCAGACAGUGAACAGGCAGGGAGCGUUUGCAGAGAGAAGAAUCUUUUCUUUCCGUUGAUAUUAUUAUGGUACUCUUUUAUUUUGCUUUGGCUGCCUUGGUUAUGCAAUUAUCUUGAAACGGUUUGAGACGCACAGUGGCGUCACGUGAAGGGGCAGGCCUGUCUAGCCAAUUGAAAUCAGGGACUCCCUAGCUCCAACCAAUCACAGGAAAAGCUGUGUGCAUAUUGGGUGGGGUCAGGAAUCAAACUCCCUCCCCAACCUACCCUAACCUUUGCCCCACCUAUUUGACUAACCAGACCAUCUUUUUCACCUGGUAAUAACAUGUGUCUUGUGAUCAGAUUUGACCCAAAAUGUCUACUCCAGCCCAAUUUGAUCGGGUAUGACCGGAUGUGACCAAAGAUCCAUUCCCAGGACACAUGUUAACACCAGGUCUAAAGGGGGUCUCAGAUUACCCCCUCCCUGCACCUCCUGCCACAACAGCAUUGCUACCCCACUAUUAAAGACUCUUGUACAUAGCAAAGUGUUUUGUAUAAAUACGUACUAUUUUCAACAUCUCCAGAUGAAACCAGGGCACAAUGUAAAUGUUGAUUAAAGUUAUAACUUGAAACAGGAGAGGGUUAAAGAAAAUUAUAGAAUUAUAGUAACACUGCUUACAAUUACAGUUUUGAAUGGGGCAACAACAACAACAAAAAAAUCCAGAGUGGACCACAUAUCGGCUUUCACAAUUGGUUCCUCUUUUUCAAGAGGUUUUGUUGAGUUCAUUUUUGGGAGCCAUUGAUUGCUUUGUAUUGAUUUUCUUUUUUGUAGUAUUUUUUAUUUUUAUUUCUGUUGAGGAAAAACGGCAUUGCAUGCUCUGAAUAUUUUGCUGGUUAUAAAAAGGAAAAUGGAGAAACAAACACGAGAAAGGGGUGAGGGGAAAAAAGCAUUCCUAAACUUUUAUGGAAACGUUGCUUCAAUUUGCAAUUGCUUGUUUAACUCCACGGUUUUUUUUUCUAUGAAAACAAACAAAACUAGAAAAAGAGUACUCCAACACCUUGUGCAAUAAAGCUAUCUUUCUAUGAG
rnacentral:lncRNA from 1 species